GCGGGAUUAGUAUAGUGGUAGUACACGACAUUGCCAAUGUCGAGACGCGAGUUCGAUCCUCGUAUCCCGCUCCA
rnacentral:tRNA from 2 species